rnacentral:rRNA from 1 species
UACGAAGGUGGCAAGCGUUGUUCGGAUUUACUGGGCGUACAGGGAGCGCAGGCGGUUCGGUAAGCCCUCUGUGAAAUCCCCGGGCUCAACCUGGGAAUUGCAUUCGAAACUGCGAGGCUAGGGUACGGAAGAGGGAAGCGGAAUUUCUGGUGUAGCGGUGAAAUGCGUAGAUAUCAGAAGGAACAUCAGUGGCGAAAGCGGCUUCCUGGUCCAGUACCGACGUUCAGGCACGAAAGCGUGGGGAGCAAACAGG